AUCAUCCCUUGAUCACUCACACAAUUCCAAUUGGAAUACCACUGAACCCUCGAGCCCCUCGCGGGAGCGCGCCCGUGAGUGCAGGAGUGCUCAAGUGUUCCAUUUGGGAUUCGACCAUAGUCAUAAUGCCUCGCAGAAGCGAGAUACCAGAAGGUAUACGAUCGAGAGUUGUUGACCUGCACAGGGCUGGAAAAGGCUACAAAAUUAUAUCGAAGAGUUUAGACAUUCAUCUCUCCACAGUUAGACAAAUUAUAUAUAAAUGGAAGCGGUUUAAAACUGUAGCUACGCUGCCUCGAAGUGGGCGUCCUUCUAAGAAAACUCCAAAGACACAACGAGAAAAAAUAAACGAGACCACUGAUGUCUCAGCUGGGCCCCCAGAUGACAGAGACGGGGAUUUGGGCCAUGAAAUGCCAAACUUCAACACUGUUCCUGAUGCUGCUAAGAAACCCGUUUCCUCCUCAUCUGACAGCGAAGCCUCCGAUGAAGAUCACAUGGUCGACCCUCUUUCCGCUGGUCCAGCUACCAUUAAAGAAGAACCAGACCUGGAGACAGACUAUAACAUUGUCUACAUUGGAGAGAACGCAGAUUCCUCAUCAUCUGAUACGGGUGAAGUAGAUCCUGUGCCAACAAACAAAGCAAGAGGAGAUCCAGAGCAUGAAACGCGCAGAGGAAAAAGCAGCUUUACUCCGUCUGAUGAUGAGACCGCAGAAGAUCCAUUGUUUUUGGACUCCAACUUUGAUGGACAAAAGAAGAUUUAUGCUGGCUCUUCAGUCACCGUGGGCGCUCUCCACCUCCUCCUCCUGACCUUCAUCCUGAAACACGGCUUGUCAAAAGCAGCAACCGAAGACCUCCUGGACCUCCUCAACUUCGUGGUACCUGGAUGUGUCCCAAAGUCUCUGCGGUUUUUAAAGAAACACCUCACCGAUUACAGCAACCAGGCAGAGAUCCAUUUUUACUGUCCCAAGUGUGCGAACUACCUUAGCGUUGAGCCUGGUAAUGAGUGUGGAGUGUGUCAGCAGCGCUUGAGCAAGAAGGGUCUUCUUGAGAAGGCUUAUUACUUCCUUGUACUGCCGCUCGAAAUCCAGCUCAGAAACAUUCUCACACACGUCCACGCAAAACUAGGGAAGCAUCCCACAAAGAACGCUUCCGUUUCUGACAUAAACACUGGCAGCGCAUACAAGCAGGAUAGACAAGACGGCGGUAUUACGCUCACCUUCAAAUGCGACGGCUCCCCUCUGCUCAACACAACCAAGUUUUCAGUUUGGCCCAUCCUGUGCACGAUCAACGAACUUCCCUAUGUGGAGCGAUGUAAAAACGUUUUGCUGCAGACGUUGUGGCUCGGCAGAGGAAAGCCACAAGUUCAGAGUUUCCUGACGCCUUUUAUUAAUGAACUUCAUAAACUGUCUGACGAGGGUUUUACUUGGACAGAUGAGACCGGCUCAGAACAUCAAACCAAAGUAAAAGCUAAAAUAUGUGUGUGCAAUUCCUUAGCAAGGUCCAUGAUGCAGAACUUUCAUCCGUUCAGCAGGGAGUUUGGAUGUGGGUUCUGCUACCACAAGGGCGAGAUGGUCCACAAGGGCCGGGGUCACAUCAGAGUUUAUCCGAUCCAGACUGAAGGCUGUGACCUGCGACAUAUGACAGAAACGGAGCAGCUGGCUGAGCUAGUGAUAGGAAAUAACUACGAUCAAGGUCAGAUGGGCGUUAGAGGUCCGAGUCCUCUGCUUCUGUUGCCAUCAUUUGACAUCAUCAAAGGGUUUAUUCCAGACUACAUGCAUUGUUUCUGCCUCGGUGUUGUCCCUGAACUCGUCAAUCUUUGGUUUAACCCUCUUUAUGCCAGCAAGCCCUUCCAUUUGACGCCUCAGCAUUUGAAUGAACUGGAUGAAGCUCUGUGUGCCAUCCAGCCUCCAAAUGAAAUUAGACAAAGCCCGAGGCGCUUCAGUGAGAGGAUGCACUGGAAAGCCUCUGAGUGGAGAGCUUUUGCUCUUCUCUAUUCUCCUGUAAUAUUAAAGAAUGUCCUGCCAGUGCUGUACUACAAACACUGGAUGCUUCUUAUUUGUGCGUUUCAUAUCCUCCUCUCCCGGUUUGCUUCUCACGAUGAGCUCAGCUGUGCAGAGUUAUGUCUGGUUGAGUUCGUAGCGCAGGUGCCUCUUCUGUAUGGGCUUGAGCAUUGCUCAUUUAACUUUCACUUGUUGACACACCUCACUGAGAGCUCCCGCGACUGGGGUAUGCUGUGGGCGAAUUCAUCGUUUGUGUUUGAGGACAUUAACAGCAGAAUCUUGCAGAUGUAUUCCUGCACAGAGUCCGUUUCCUCACACGUCUUUACACAACUCCUCUCAUACGAGGAGAUGAUCCAGAAAGGAAGUGCUUUAUUUCAGAAUGCAAGCUCAGAAAUAAAAUCCUUCUUUUGCUCUUUGACAGGUUGCGAUAUUAUUACCAAGCCAUCCAAUCACACAGGAGAGCAUGUCAUUUUGGGAUGUGGAUCUCAAAGAUCACUAACUGAGAGGGAAAUAGCUGCAUUGCAGAGCAGAGACGCGCAGUACCUGCGAAGUCAGGACAGUGUGACUGAACACAAAUGUUUUGUUUAUAAUGACAUGUUCAUCACCACGUUGGAUUAUAGCAUCGCCUGCGAAAGGAACAACUCUGCUAUAGAAACAAGCAGUGGCUUCGCUAUCGUGGAGUCUCUGGUGGUCGUACCAAAGCCCUGCAGCUGCCGGGUGGCUUCCGGCUGCUCCUGCAGAGAAGUCGUCGUUUUCUGCAAGAAGCUGCUGCGAGCAAACAGCCAGGUAUCGAUUCACGACUCGCAGACCAACAUGAACGUCGCAAAUUUCCUCGUCCGAGUGAGAAGCUCAGCUGAACUGUGUGCAAUGACGUGUGCGGACAUUGUUGCUAAAUGUUUUGUGAUUGAGCAAGAAGGUCGGCUGUAUGUGAUGAGGAUGCCUGUCUUUUAGACACCAAGUGUCUGUCUUUUUUUUACAUAUGUAUGAUGUGUGUCCACAUUCACACAGCAGGAUUGUGUGUGUGUGUGUGUGUGUGUGUGUGUGUGUGUGAUUCACUGUGUAAACUUUUGUAAAUUUAAUUAUCUUGUUCAUGUUCAUUGGGUUCUAUAAUUAUUGUAACAUGGGCUCUAAAAGUUUGAGAACACAAGUGAAGAUUCUUUGUUUUAUUACAUAAAUAUUAAAAGAUAAAUUGUGGAAGAUGUUCCAUAAAUUCCAUGA